rnacentral:tRNA from 1 species
GCCCCCGUAGCUCAGUGGUCAGAGUGCUCGCCUUUUAAGCGAUGCGACGCGAGUUCGAAUCUCGCCGGGGGCA